CCAUAUAUGGUAGACCGUGUUCUCCGACCCACCCCUCUUUGUUGGCUCGACCAAUGAGAGGCCGCCAAACGUUGGUGGCUGCCGGGGAUACGAGCGACGGAGGGAUACAGGGAAAACAGCAGGUAGCUAGUGGGUCCGUUUUAUCCCCAAUGAUUUAAUCAUGUAAGGGAUUGAAGGAACCUUUUUAUCAACAUGAAGUCGGAUUUUAUGGGGAGAUAGUUGCUACCGAGGCGCCGUGCAGGCUGCUGACGGAGAGGAAUGCACACUGGAGGUCAUUUUCCCGGACUGGGGAGGUGGGAGGCAACGGCCCCCGCAGUGUUGUGAGGGAUAUUGUUAGCUAGCUAGCGAAACAGAAGGACUUCCGGUUGAUAUUUUCAAAAUAAAAAAGCUCCGACAAGAGCGGGAUUCGAUUGAUUAAAGUUCUCGGGAGAAAAUUUUACUUACAUGCGUGAACUUAUCAAAAACGAAUCCGCAGUGGGUUUAUGAGUAUGCUGCAACGACUCGUGCUAUUUAUUAUACAAACACGCAACAUCGACACACAUGCUGCUUUUACUUUGAAGUGGAACUUACCGCAUCCCCAGUCCAAUUGUCGUUAGCUCUUGGUAGCUUGACACAUACAAGAAGGGGUGAAGUUACAAAGCCUCAGACCAAAACAAGACUUCUCAUCUUGUGGUGGACAACGCCGCCUUGCUAUGAAUGGGACCUACCUCGUCUCACUGUGUUUUUUCCGAGUCAAAUGCCUUUUAAAUUGGAGGGCCUGUCGGUUAUCUGCAAUUGGAGCUCCAGUGGUGGAAAAUACGGUUUGCAGUGAAAGAUCAACAUGUACUGUCAACCACUGAAAAACAAGAAGAGGCUCUUGUAGCUGGAGGAGGAUUACCUGCCCUAACUUUUCCUCCUCCUCCUCCUCCUCCUCCUCCUCCUCCUCCUCCUCACCCUCUUGGGAUCAAUGACCGGACCCAACUCCCCAAGCCGGACCGGCACCACCUCGGCUAAGCUGAGCAGACAUGGCCGGUCCAAGAGCACCAGCUCGCACUGUCUCCUCCGCUGCAGCACCAAGGAGGAAUCCUCCGCCUCCCCCCCUAACAACAGCCCCCGGUCCCCUGGAGACGAAGAGGAGAAGGAUGGAGGGGUUCUUUUUUAUGUGAACAGGACAGGUUUUCCCAUCGAGAGUGUAACCUGGGAAAGAAUGUGGUCCCAUGUGGCUGCUGUGCACCCUGAGGGUCAGGAGAUGGUGGACAGGAUACGAAAUGCUGCAUACCUUCCCAAGCAUUCCGUUCCCUCAGUCCCGACCUUCAAACCGUCCAUGUCGGUUCCAGAUUGGCUUGUGGCCAUCCAGAACUACAUGAAGGCUCUGCAAUACAACCACACAGGAACCCAAUUCUUUGAAAUCAAGAAGAGCCGUCCACUGUGUGGGUUAAUGGAGACAGCAAGAGAGAUGAUCAGAGAGUCUUUGCCAAUCAAAUGUCUGGAAGCCGUCAUCCUGGGAAUCUACCUGACCAACGGGCUGACGUCUCUCGAGCGUUUCCCCAUCAGCUUUAAGACCCAGUUUUCUGGCCACUGCUUCCACCAUGUUGUACUGGGCAUCUACUGCAACGGCCGCUAUGGGUCACUUGGCAUGAGCCGCCGGCAGGACCUGAUGGACAAACCGCUGACACACCGCACACUGGGAGAACUUGUAGCUGAGUUUGAGAGCUCCUACAAAAGAUACCAGCACACUCUGAAGAAGGUGAAGAUCGGCCUGUAUGUGCCUCACGACCCCCACGUCUUUCAGCCGAUUGAGUGGAAGCAUUUGGUGCUGAACGCUGCACGACUGGGAGCCCAGGAGAUGAGGAAGGAACUGGAGAAACACGGCCGAGAUAUGAGGAUGAAGAUCCUUAAAUCAUCCAGUGCGCAGUCACCAAUCAAGGAGCGGAGCCGGGGGAAAUCCUUAUCACCAAGGCGACGGCAGAGCAGUCCCCAGCGACGCUUCACACACCGCAGAGACAAAUCGCCGGCCUCGGUGGAGAGGAAACCUCCGGAGCUUAGCACUCUUAAUGAUGGCUACCAGAUCCGCAUCUGAUCCCCAUCAUUACCUCCCAAUCAUCCAAAAUCCGUCCAGCCUUCUCAGCCACCCUGAUCCUCCUGAAGAGCCUCUACCUGCCACCGCUUUCAAGAGAGGAGUCACUGCAGCUAGAGCGAUUUCACACAGUCAAGGUGGUUGACGAACACACUAAAACAUGUUAAAAGAGCUUUUCUGAGCUGGAAGCGGAAGAAUAUUUCAGAAGCCAAGACUCGGACAAAAAGUGACUGGUUGUUCUGGUUUUAAUGCCUAACAGUGGACUGUUCAGUAGCAAUGAAUUCUUGACAACAGCCUCAUCAUUUAACACCUGAGAGUGGCUGCUCUUUCUCUUACACAUACACGUCAGUCAUGUAGUUGAAGCACUAUCCAUCUGAUGUAGGAUAAGCCCAGAAGAAGUGCUAUCAAUGCAUUUCUAGAUUAACAAGAUUUCAUUGAACUGGUAGGUAGAAAUUAAAGGCUGAGAGCUGUCAUGUCCUGACAACAGAUAAAGCCAAGUGUUGUGUGACCCCUCAGUGACCUUGUGUCUUAGAGAAGGGCUACAACAGGAAGUGAGAGAGAAGAAAGAGUAGAUAUUUAUCAGCACAAAUGGGUGAACAUAUUUUUCAGUGGUUGAGAGAGACCGGUAUCCAUGGUGGAAGAGUCACCACAAGAACAUAUUCUGUUUCUCUUCGCACAGAACAGACUAAAAAUAUUUAAAUUUAUUGGGGGUUUUGGCACGUUAUCGUGUUAAAUUAUCAGUUAUCAUGAUGCUACUUCUAUGGCACUAUUUCUUACUGAGAAUUUAAGUCAAGGAUGGGAGCAGCAAUGACUUCACAGGGUUUCAUUUUGUUGUCAGUUUUCCAACAUGGCAGGCCUAGAGGAGGAGAUUCACAGGUGUGGGUGUUGUUAUCCCACUUUAUUCUCACAUCUGCUCAACUACUGCAGCACUUUGGCUUUAAUAAAAAGACCACUGAAGGGAUGUUCAGAAGUAAUAUUUCAGUUUCAAUCCGACCUUUCCAAAACCCCCUGAACCAACAGCAACUUAAAUAAGAUGACUAAGUAGACUUCCACAUGCAGAUUCUAUUGAUCAGAGAGGACGAGUGUAGAAUAAGGAGAGGACGUUCAAUAAGGUAUGCAGGGAAAUCAAAGACACGGAGUUCAUAGAGAGGAAAAGAAAGAAGAAGAGAAGAGAUGGAAAGGGGUGAGAAGAGAGGGAGUUAUAUAGAGAGAGGAUUCACUGCAGAACAUCAGUGAACGAUCAUUAGAGCACUGCGGCAAACCUCCUGCCCCCCACCCUACCCCCUCUCUUAUUCCCCUCCUCCUCUGCCCUCUGUUGACACAUAACUGAAUACAUAACCACAGCUCUGUUUCCAGCCAAGUAAAACUCCUCAAACACAAAAAUGUAAAGACUCAAAUACAGACUCGUGUUGGACAAGAAGUUUAUGGUCACAGUAUCUAAAACUAAAUAUGUAGACAGAAAGGCACUUACUGAUAUUAUAGUAAAAGAGAAGGUUCAGCAUUUUUGUCCACAUAACUAUUGAUUGAGUCGAUCGUUCAACGUUCACAUUGUUAUUUAUUCAACAAGGUGAUUUCUAUUAUUUAUUAUAGCUUAAUUGUUUGGAAAAAACACCUGUUUGCAUGGAAAUUUAGCUGUAGGCUAAGCUAGCUUGUCCAUCCAUCCAUCCCAUUCUUAUGAACGCAGCAUCUCAAGAAUACCUGGAGGGAAUUUCUUCAAAUUUGGCACAAGUGUCCACGUGGACUCAAGGCUGAUAAGGUUUUGGCAGUCAAAGGUCAAGGUCAGUGUGACCUUGUGUCCGUUUCCAUUCUCGUGAUCGCAGUAUUUCAGGAAAAGCCUUGAGGGAAUUACUUACGAUUUGGUACAAACUUCCACGUUGACUCAAAGAUGAACUCAUUAGAUUUCAAUGGUCAGAGAUCAAAGUCAGUGUAACCUUGCAUCUGUUUCAUUCUCAUAAAUGUGAUAUUUCAAGAAGGCCUUGAGGGAAUUUCCUCAAAUUUGGCACAACUGUCCACUUGGACUAAAAAAUAAACUGAUUAGAUCUUGGUGGUCAGAAGUCAAGUUCACUGUGACCUUGUGUUUACAGUGACCUUGACAGCCUUAAAAGGAAUUUCCUUGAAUUUGGCACAAACAUCCACUUGGACACAAGACCAAACUGAUUCAGUUUUGGUGGUUAAAGGUCAAGGCCACUGUGAUCUCGCAAAACAUGUUUUUGGCCACAACUUAAGAAUUAACACAUUAAUUAUGACAACAUUCAUUAUUCUUUUUUCUUUCUCAUGCCUUAACUCAACUUGUUGUUGAGAGUGAAAUGUGAAUGAUACAGAAUCAACCACAGUUCAGUUUAACAUUAAACAUACCACACAUUGAGAGGUCAACACAAUUGAUGAAUGAGAGCAUUGUGGAUUAUUCUUAAAAUACUGUGAUCUUGAAAAGGGUACCUUAAAAAGUAUAUCCUGAAAAAUUAAAUCACUAGUUUUUCCAAAACAGGUUAGCAGAAGGCUGUGGGGCUUCGGAUGUGUCAACCAAACUCUGCUGUAGCCAACCCAUGUGUUCACACAGUAAACUAACGUACUGUUGGCCAGCUGGGUGCUGCCUUCACAGCUGUUCCACCAACAGCUGGAAAAUAAAACAAUUUAGCUGGUCCAAGUUCAGCUGAAGCCAGUUUGUCCACUCAGACAAAAGAGAAGUGAAGGCAGAUGUUGGCCGAGUGAACACUCUAACAAAGGCCUCAUUCAAGACAGAUUUAUCUGACAGAGGGAUACAAUACUCUGCACGCUGUCAGCAGAUAAUACAGGCAGUUGGGACAGUGGGGGCAGGACCUUUACAGGGCUCUAAGAUGAUUGUUUUGGUCACCAAAUGCUCCUAUUAAUGAAAAUUGUCAUGUUUUAAUCUCAUGGAUGAAUGCAUUUUGACUUUUGGUGUAAUACUGAGAAACUGAGAUAUUGAGUCAAAGGACACUGCUCCAGCUCCGCAACAUGAGGGCAGCUCCACUCUGUGUUUGUCAACCUAGAAUGUCAAAGAAAGUCAAAAUGUUUUGUUAAAGCAGUUUUCCAAUCAGAAACUCAUAUUUUUAGUUCUUCACAGGGGACAAAUAAGAGUCAGGCAACCAUGAAAGUUCUCAGAGCAGCUUGCUGAAUUGUCUUAUUGCUCAGAGAAGCUUCUGUACCGAUGAGAGCCUUGAUGAGAGCGUUCAGUACUGUAUGCACUGCUUCACGCUCGUAUGCGUGAUGUAUCAAAAGGAUUGUCCAAAAAAAAAUCCAAUCAAGUCUGAAUUUGAUUGGGGUUUUAUUGUUUGGAUCUUCCUGUUGAGGCCUUCGAUGAUCACAGCUGAGAAGCUUGAAAUCAAAGAAGCUUGAAAUCACACGUCACACAUGUCAUAGUUGGUUUUAACCAGUGAAAUGAUGUUUGAAUAUCACGUAUCAUACCAGAGACAAAACAGUAUUCAGUUGUUAACAGAAACCUUAUAUCGAAACAUAUUCAACACAUGCUGUACUCAGAUACAGUAUAUAUGUUUGUACGUCAAAAUGCAUCUACAUUAAGUCAUGUUUGUUACAUCCACAGAAUGUACCGUAUGGUUUUAAGCCUUCAGACUGAGAACUAUAGAAGUCCGUUUUUAUUGAGAAAGUGUUGACGAGUACAACCAGCUCUGUUCACAGAAUUAAGGGGUUAAGUUAGUUGCUCAAUGACAUUUUGAGGGCAGCUAUUGAGUGAAGACAAAAGAUUAAAUCCAUGAUUUAAAAAAAAAAAAAAUCAUUAAAGGCUAACUCUUUCUGCUACAUAGAACCGAACAGACAAUACAACUAUCUGCCUUUAGCAUGACUGAAAAAACCCAGCUGAUUUCUAUAGUUUUCAUCUGAAGGAUUAACUCUCAGAAAAAUGGUGUUUCCUAAAAUCAAGCUCAGAGAUUAUCUUUUUUCAAUUAGGCUGCACGCAACAACAUUAGGUUUCUUGACGACCAAAGCUAGCAAUGAUCGAACACCUGUAAACUUCUACAACAAAGUAACUCAACUCCUUACUUUAACUUCCAGCUGCUACAAACAAAAACAGCAACUUAUUUUAAAGGCACUCUGUAAAGUUUUUGGCCACUGGUAGUGAUGUGGAGCAAUGUUUUUAAAAGUGGGUGCUUGUUUUGUUAGUAUCUCAUGUAUGCUAACUAUUAUGUGCCAAGGAAUGCCAACAAAGGCAGGAAGGCUGCUAGCAAGCCAACAGGAUGUUAACUUUGUGAUUUAAAGUGAUGUCAAAGGGUGCACUUUUAACUUCACACCUAAUGGAACAAAGAUAAUCUUACAUAUCUGUAAAGUUUAGGGGAAAACACUCCUCAUUUUACUUUUGGUGUUUUGGUCGCAUCAGUCAUCAGCAGGAGGGUUUCAGGAGUCUGUGUACAGAUUGUUUGUGAAUAUUGUCAUUUGAUUGUUUUAUCACUUUCCUUUGAAUGUUUCACAGUGUCUUCUCGCUCACAGAACAAGUAUGUUUUGUUGCCAACUGAACGUUUUAUCCUAGCUUUUUGUUCCAACAACGAGCUAUGCACACGCCACAUGGAGAGCAGGUGAUGACAAAAAUCCUAGUCUUCCAAUUCAAACAAUGGAGGAGGAAGGUGUUUGUGGCUCAAUCUACAAAAAAAAAUCUAAAACAUCUGCACAGAAAAACAAAUCUUGGUUAUUAAGACUAACUCGCCAAGAACCCACAGCUUUCCCUCUGUGCAGCUCCAGCCUGAGCCAUUACCACUAAAUCAAGGUGCUGUGAGAAAAAAAGCAGAAUAUUUUUACAUAUUUCUGAUGUUUGGCCAGCAGUGGACCAUAGCACAGCCCAGAGACAGAGAUCUGACACUCUGGCACAAAGCAACCAGCUCACCAUGUUAAUAUUUGUAUUGAAGCUUCAGUGUUGAUAACUUUCUAAAGGCGCGAUGUUUGUUAGCAUACAGACGAAGCACAACGCUGCUUUUGCUUUUUGAGUAUUCAAAAUCCUGUUUCACACCGGGGUUGUGGACGAAACAAGACGGGGAAUUGGUGCAUUUUCACACUGAAGAAGCAACAUAUCUUGGAGUACAUCUUUCAGGAAAGACGAUUUUCUGACAUGUGUUUCUGGAACUAUACAAAACGGAGAUUCAACAGUUACCAAGGACCUAAAGUUCACAAAUAUCUCAAUGCACAAAUUAUAAUGGAAACUUUGGAUUUAAAGACAAACAUCAACACUGCAGUUGUAAGGAUUUGACCCAACUGCAGUGACAAGCUCCCUGACUGCUCAGCAGGGACACGGGAACUGCGACAAGUCACGACAAAAUACAACAACCCCAAACAGUGAUACUCAAUGUAGCAACUGAAAUCUGUUUGUAUGUCCGUUUGCAAUAGAGACGUUUGUGCUUGACGGUUUUAUUGAAUGUUUUGUUUUUGUUUUUUUUAAUAAGAUUCUGUUUGUGGUUUGACUUCUUGAAGACAUUUGGGUUUGAUUCAUUGAUUGUACACUAUCAUUUUGAAUGAGACCAUUUGUUUAAAAAACAAAAAAAGAACAGUAGUGUAGCCGAUGUUCUUUUUUUAUGGCCUUUGAUUUGUUUCCAAAGUGCUGAUACCACAUUUCUCAACUCCAUCCUGGUCCUGAUCUUUCUGUACUGUAAAAUGUACUGUGUGUUUGGAAAUCAGCGAUUAAUGAGGAAACUUCUUGAGGCUCUGCUGUGGCUUGCGGCAAGCCCACCUGUGUAACUUCAUGAGUUUAACAUGAGUGAGUUCUAUAGAAACUUUACACACUGAGGUUGCUCAUCAGUUAAAUCUCAAAGUUCCCCACUACAUAUGAUAAAGAAAUUCUAUUUGUGCACUGUGUCUGCUGAAUUGACAAAAAAAAAGCCGAACCAAAUUCAGAGCAACAUAUCUCGACGAUGUUUGACAUAUAAAUAUUUAUUAGACAUUAAAAAUGUCCGUGUGAAGCUUCCAGUGCCUCAGCAGUGUGGGUUUAAUCAGAUAAGACUAUCCUUAAGUUUUGACUUUGUGUCUUUGGUGUGUUCUUCGGAGGAGUUGCCCAUGUGCAUUGUGCAAAAAAAAAACUUAUUGAGUCUGUCAGCUAUCCGCUUCUGUUCUUUAUUUUCCUGAUCACACAUGCUCUGAAGUUCUUGACAAAAAAGAAAAUGUUUUGUUGCAGUUUUUUGCCUGUUUCUGGAAACAAUUUCAUUCAACAUUUAAAAGCAGACUGAUCUGCUCUGUGCUGCGAAGAACUCUCAAAUCUGAGGCGGCAGAAGACGAGCAAAAAAUCAGUGUGAUGUGUGUGUGUGUGUGUGUGUGUAAAUCAAACCACUGUAACAGUAUUUAAGCGUCUUCAACUGUGAGUGACUUUAAUAUGUGGAAACACCACAGAGCCCUGAGGAGCCCACACACACAUACACACUAUAAUUAUUAUGAUUAUUAUUGUUUCUAAAGAGAGCUGUUGAGGUUCCCUGUGUGAGGACGUGGUGUGGUUUUGUAUUCCUGUGGAGCUCUAUAGUAGGAGAUGUGACCCUCAGUAAAUAUUAUUAUGUACCUUUCCUACUGUUACAGUAUCAGUGGUCUGACAGCAGCUGUUUCUAUCAACAACUGUAGCAGCAUGUCUUCUUUUAAUAAAUGAUCUAUGUUUUUAA